rnacentral:rRNA from 1 species
GAUGAACGCUGGCGGCGUGCUUAACACAUGCAAGUCGAACGAUGAAGCCCAGCUUGCUGGGUGGAUUAGUGGCGAACGGGUGAGUAACACGUGAGUAACCUGCCCUUAACUCUGGGAUAAGCCUGGGAAACUGGGUCUAAUACCGGAUAGGAGCGCCUACCGCAUGGUGGGUGUUGGAAAGAUUUAUCGGUUUUGGAUGGACUCGCGGCCUAUCAGCUUGUUGGUGAGGUAAUGGCUCACCAAGGCGACGACGGGUAGCCGGCCUGAGAGGGUGACCGGCCACACUGGGACUGAGACACGGCCCAGAAUCCUACGGGAGGCAGCAGUGGGGAAUAUUGCACAAUGGGCGAAAGCCUGAUGCAGCGACGCCGCGUGAGGGAUGACGGCCUUCGGGUUGUAAACCUCUUUCAGUAGGGAAGAAGCGAAAGUGACGGUACCUGCAGAAGAAGCACCGGCUAACUACGUG